rnacentral:rRNA from 1 species
UACAGAGGUGCCAAGCGUUAGGCGGAAUCACUGGGCUUAAAGCGCGUGUAGGCGGGUCGUUAAGUGUCCGAGUGAAAUCCCACGGCUCAACCGUGGAACUGCCGGGCAUACUGGCGAUCUUGAGGCAUUCAGGGGCGAGCGGAACAAAUGGUGGAGCGGUGAAAUGCGUAGAUAUCAUUUGGAACGCCAGUGGUGAAAACAGCUCGCUGGGAAUGAUCUGACGCUGAGACGCGAAAGCCAGGGGAGCGAACGGG